UAAAACAAUUAUUUCCGAAAUCUUCGUUAUAUAAUCUUUGCAACAAUAAUAAUGGUGUAAACGGGACUUUGUUUUUAUUUUCAACAGGAAAGAUAACUUCUUUUUUAGUGACAGUAACGAAAACUCCCCUCUCCACAAUAAUUAUAAGAUUGUGACUGCCGAUUUUAUUAUUUCUAGCGUGACGGAUACAAGCGUUAAAGUGAGAGAGAUUUUCCUACAUUAUUUGAAGCGUGAAGUUUUUAUUAUUUGAAGCGUAAAGUUUUUAUUAUUUGAAGCGUGAAGUUUUUAUUAUUUGAAGCGUGAAGAUUUUAUUAUUUCAAGUGUGACGGGAGUCAAGCGUCGAUGCGAGAGAGACCGUCACCUGAAAAGGCCAUGUGCUGUGCGAUUAUAAACAAGAAGCCGACGUCAGACAAAGCUUAAGCUUCCUAGGAUGAAAAUCAACAUGAUUUGUACUCCGGCAAUGACAUGGCACUCAGAAGAAAGCUGGCUGAAGUGAAUGUGGAGAAGAACAAUGGAACAAGAGAGAUUCCAGCUGGGUUGGAUUAGCUGGGCAUCAGCAGGGGCAUUAGCCAAAGACAGAGGCAGAUCAUGAGAUGUAUGGAUAUUGUCCUAAGUAAGAACUAACCUGGCAAUGUUGGAAUGAAAUUUACAGGAGCUACAAAGAGUUUUGGUUUUUAGAUGUAUAAAUGUUCUAAAGAAAGAAAACAGUGUUGUAAAGAAAGAAAAGGAUUAUUAACUUAAAGAAAUAUGGAUGACAAGUACCUCCAGUGAAUGAUGUCAUAUCCAGCUUUGAAAAUGUUUUGUUAGAAAGAAAAGGACCUGAAGAAGGAGAAAGAUCUAUUUUAUAGAUUUAGAUGGAUUGAUAAACUGUCAAAGCUAUUGCUAUCACUAAAUUUUGUACAAUGCUUGUAAUUCUUUAUCACUGAGUCUAUGAGCCUUCUGACAUUAUAGUGUAUCUAAUCUGAGAAAUCAGUGUCCAUACGAUAUCAAUCUUGAAACAUUUCAAGAUAACCAUAUAUCAAUACAUAAUAUGUACAGAUUUAUUAGCAGAUGAAAACUCUACACAAACUGGAUACUGAUAAGUUACUGAAAUUUAGAGAUGUUUUACUUGGUGUGGAUUGAUUUAAGAAAAAAAAAUCUGAAACAAUAUAAUAAACUUAUUACUCCAG